CAAGCAGAAGGUUGGUAAAUGCGUAUUAGCUACAAUGUCCAAACCUGAGAAUAAGAGUUGCAAGAAAUUAUAGAAGGAAAGGGAAGAAACAAAUGCAAUCAUCAUUAAUACAAAAUGCGGUCACCAUAAUCCACUAGAGAAGAACUUGGAGAUAACAAUGUUCAUUAACAUGUGUUUCUUUUUGCAGGUACUAAAUUUAUACUGAUGUUCUUUUCUGUCAAGAACUCUACAGCGGUAGUAUUAAUGCGAUGUAUUAAUUCUAAUGGAAGUAACUUACAGAGGGACAGUGGUACAAACCAUGGAAGCUUCAACAAACAAUAUAACAUGGUUACUUCAUCAAGAGUACUCAACAGAGAAGAACAAAUCUGCAAACAAAAAUGAUGUGAAGAAUUUGUAAUGAUAUUACUCAAGAAACAGAUAGCUGGGAGUUCAAGUAAAAAUGUGCAAGCUCA
rnacentral:lncRNA from 1 species